UAUAGUUAAUAUUGCUUCAUUAUUAAUUGCUGCGUUUGCGAUUUCAUCGUAGAGCAUGGAAAUUUCAUAUCUAUAUGUAUAAUGGCAUCGAUAGAAUCCUACCCUAUCACGCGCCUGUCGUAACAAACGAUCGCCUGGGCGUAUGAUAAGGAGAACCUCAUUAAUGCCGUUCAGAAUACAUUUGAACCGAGCGCGAACGUGAAGCGCAUGUGCGCUUCUGGGUUCUUGAUUGGACAAGACUACGACAUGAGUUGCGUAACAGUGCAAUAGCACAGUAUACACUGUGGCAAUAGCGAGAAAACGAGAAAUGUAACACGUGCCCAAUAAGUGAUUCUGAAGCCGGUCGAAGUUUUGUGUAUCUAUGUGUAUCUGGCGUGUCUCUUAUAAAAUAAAGAGAAAAUAAUAUAUUAGCAAAAGGAAUUUCAUGAGAAACACAGCGGUGGUGUAGCUGCUGUUAACAGUGCGUGGCUUCCCUUUUUUAAAAAGGAAGUUUUUUGGCCUCCGUAUAAAGAUCAAAAUAAAUUUGACAAAGCUUUGAGAACAGGGGAAACAGUUGAUACUGAAAAAUGGACACUGCACAGUAUUUCGCGUAUUUUUUACAGUAGUGAUGAUCUUGUAAAGACAAGAGAGAAACUAAAACGGUCAGAAAUUAUAUCAAAUUUGGAGAGUGAAGAAGAAAACGAAGAUAUACGUAAGAAACGGAAAAGAAUGUCUAGAAGAAUAUAUAAUUCAUCGUCAGAUGAUGAACAAGAGGAAGAACGAGGAAAACAACGAGAAAAACUUGUUUCCCUGAUAGCUACUGUCAAGGAACAGAAUGAUGAAAUAUUUGUCACGUCCCGCGACCAUUUUUCCGAUUUUCUUUCCUCUGUUAUAUUUUCGAAAUUGAUUAAAAGAACUCUAAGUCCCUUUUACGCGAUUCAAAAAGCUCGCCUUUGGCGGCCAUGACACCUUGCUUCUACUAGUACCUAAGCGUGGCGCUACCAUAAUAGCGCGUCAUCUCACUACCUCGCCAUCCCACUACCACGUAUCCCCACUUGCGGACGACAGCAGCGGCCGAGCCGCCGAAACGAAGGACCUCAGUGCAGGCCCCGACUUCGUCAG